rnacentral:rRNA from 1 species
GAUGAACGCUGACAGAAUGCUUAACACAUGCAAGUCUUUGGCGAAGCUGUGCUUGCACAGCCUAGCCAAGUCGGACGGGUGAGUAACGCGUAAGGAACUUGCCCUGCAGUCAGGGAUAACAGACGGAAACGACUGAUAAGACCUGGUAAAGUCAGGCGGACUCAUGUCCAGCCUGAUGAAAAGAGAUGCUGCAGGAGAGCCUUGCGUCCUAUUAGCUUGUUGGUGGGGUAACGGCCCACCAAGGCGAUGAUAGGUAGCCGGCCUGAGAGGGUGGACGGCCACAAGGGGACUGAGAUACGGCCCUUACUCCUACGGGAGGCAGCAGUGGGGGAUAUUGGACAAUGGGGGCAACCCUGAUACAGCAAUUCUGUGUGCACGAUGAAGGUUUUCGGAUUGUAAAGUGCUUUCAGAAGGGAAGAAAAAAUGACGGUACCUGCAGAAGAAGCGACGGCUAAAUACGUG